UACCCAGCAACUCCUAUCCCUACCUCCUCGCGGUACUGGCCGGGGUACGAGUAACCUUAGGGAAGA
rnacentral:ribozyme from 1 species